rnacentral:rRNA from 1 species
AGUGAACGCUGGCAGUAGGCCUAACACAUGCAAGUCGAACGGCAGCACAGUAAGAGCUUGCUCUUACGGGUGGCGAGUGGCGGACGGGUGAGGAAUACAUCGGAAUCUACUUUUUCGUGGGGGAUAACGUAGGGAGACUUACGCUAAUACCGCAUACGACCUACGGGUGAAAGCAGGGGAUCUUCGGACCUUGCGCGAUUGAAUGAGCCGAUGUCGGAUUAGCUAGUUGGCGGGGUAAAGGCCCACCAAGGCGACGAUCCGCAGCUGGUCUGAGAGGAUGAUCAGCCACACUGGAACUGAGACACGGUCCAGACUCCUACGGGAGGCAGCAGUGGGGAAUAUUGGACAAUGGGCGCAAGCCUGAUCCAGCCAUACCGCGUGGGUGAAGAAGGCCUUCGGGUUGUAAAGCCCUUUUGUUGGGAAAGAAAAGCAGCAGGUUAAUACCCCGCUGUUCUGACGGUACCCAAAGAAUAAGCACCGGCUAACUUCGUG